rnacentral:rRNA from 1 species
ACGGAAGGCAGCAGUGAGGAAUAUUGGUCAAUGGACGGAAGUCUGAACCAGCCGAGUCGCGUGAAGGAUGAAGGUAUUAUGUAUUGUAAACUUCUUUAGCAGUGGAGUAAUAAGGGGAUCGCGAUCCCUGAUGCAAGUACACUGAGAAUAAGGAUCGGCUAACUCCGUGCCAGCAGCCGCGGUAAUACGGAGGAUCCGAGCGUUAUCCGGAUUUAUUGAGUUUAAAGGGUGCGCAGGCGGCUUUUUAAGUCAGUGGUUAAAUCGUGACGCUCAACGUCAUCACGCCAUUGAUACUGGAGAGCUUGAUUGCGGUCGAGGUUUGCGGAAUUCGUUGUGUAGCGGUGAAAUGCAUAGAUAUGACGAAGAACACCGAUUGCGUAGGCAGCAGACCAGGCCGUAAAUGACGCUCAUGCACGAAAGUGCGGGGAUCGAACAGGAUUAGAUACCCUGGUA